rnacentral:rRNA from 1 species
AGCGAACGCUGGCGGCGUGCCUAACACAUGCAAGUCGAGCGAACCGUUUGGGGAAACUCGGACGGUUAGCGGCGGACGGGUGAGUAACACGUGGGUAACCCACCUAGGGGACCGGGAUAACGGCUCGAAAGGGCCGCUAAUACCGGAUACGCUCCCAGGGGCACAAGCCUCAGGGACGAAAGGUCGCGCAAGCAACCACUCCUAGACGGGCCCGCGGCCCAUUAGCUAGUUGGCGGGGUAACGGCCCACCAAGGCAAUGAUGGGUAGCCGGUCUGAGAGGAUGACCGGCCACACGGGGACUGAGACACGGCCCCGACUCCUACGGGAGGCAGCAGUGGGGAAUCUUCCGCAAUGGGCGAAAGCCUGACGGAGCGACGCCGCGUGGGGGACGAAGGCCUUCGGGUCGUAAACCCCUGUCAGAGGGAAAGAAGGGUGCCGGCGUGAACAGCGCUGGCAUUUGACGGUACCCUCAGAGGAAGCCACGGCCAACUCCGUGCCAGCCGCCGCGGUAACAC